UACGGGGGGAGCAAGCGUUGUUCGGCUUUACUGGGCGUAAAGGGCGCGUAGGCGGUCAGCACAAGUCAGUUGUGAAAUCUCCGAGCUUAACUCGGAAAGGUCAACUGAUACUGUGCGACUAGAGUGCAGAAGGGGCAACUGGAAUUCUCGGUGUAGCGGUGAAAUGCGUAGAUAUCGAGAGGAACACCUGCGGCGAAGGCGGGUUGCUGGGCUGACACUGACGCUGAGGCGCGAAAGCUAGGGGAGCGAACGGG
rnacentral:rRNA from 1 species